rnacentral:lncRNA from 1 species
GCACAUCAAAGGAGCCUGAGAGUAUAUGAAAAGUCUCCCCUCCUCUCCGUAGAUUCCCCACCUCAGCAAAGAAGGAAGAAAGAAGAACUUUUCUGGUGUUAUCUUCAGAGCCACACUUUGUCUUUAUAAUUGCAUGGAAGUCACCUGGGAUUUUGUGUCUGUUACUGCUGUUCUUUCCAUUGGCUUUCUUGUAGCCAUUGUGUAUAUUGGCUGCUUCCUUCACUUUGCAUCAGUUCAUGCUAUUCUUCCCAUGCUUCUCUGAAUACUUGCUAUGCCCGGAUUCUUAGAGCUCAGUCAGAUUUCCUUCUUUUCAAUGUGCAUCAGGGCAUGAUUGGAAUAGAUCCAAUGGGCCAUCAGUAGUGAUAAGCCCGACCGGCUCCCCUCUAGAACAUGCACUAAGCUUCCCUGGCAGCUUGCAAGAGUCCACUGAGAUCACACAGAAAACGUGAGAUAAAGUGCUCCCUCCUCGCCUUCCCAUGCAGGGUUGAGAGAGAGAACCGACGCCAAGCCAGGGAUAGCUGCUGCCUCUUCGAGGACCGUAGGAGAGAACCACUAACAGGAGCAAGAUCCCAAGCCCUGGUCUGACUUGCCAGAAAACAUCUGGCGAAUUAAAUAUCUAGGGAAACCUCCCGUCCAGUCCAGUCCCGAAGACACCGCAAUAUGUAGGCAUCGCAGUCAAGUGAUUUUAAUUGGCAGAUUCCUGACUAGGGGAAGUCCGGGGACAGGACAGGGACUGACUCAGGACUCGACAAGGAGAGGGAUAAAGAAACUGAGUAUGCAAGAAGAAAAGUCUGAUCUGUUUCUUCAGAGAUCACCUUCCCCAGGAAUGAAACCGGUCUGCAUGCAUAGAUAUAAAACUAGAGGCUUUCAGUAGUAGAGGGGGAAGGAGAGUGUCCCAGCCCCACUGGGCCCAAAAGUGGUUCUUUAUGCAUAAUUAUACAUAUGCCAUGGGUUUUUUUUCAGAUAUUCCAUUUAUAUUUACUUUGUUUCCAGUUCUUUGCUGCUACCAAAAAAAAAAAAAAGGUGCUAUAAAUAUUUUGGUAUAUAUAGGAGU